AAAGAGCUAAUUAAUUAAUAAAGUUAAUGUCGAAAAAUUAUUUUUAAUAAUUAAUUUGAAAUGAAAUGUUAUUCGUUUUUAAAGAUAUCUAGUUUUUUUAGAAAAAAAUUUAAUUUAAAAUUUUAUUAUUUAUUAAAAAUUAAUUUAUUAAUUUUUAUUAUGAAAAAUUAUAAUUUUAUAUUUUAAGGGAUAAUCUCCAAAUUAUAUUUUUAUAAUUAUUAUUAUUUACAUAAAAUGAAAUUUUUAUAUUUUAUAUUGAUAAUAAAUUUUAUUUUAUUAUAAAUAAUUUCUUAAUAAAAAAAAAAUUUAAAAAUAAUAAUUUAAUUUUUUAUAAAAAAAUUUUUUUUUAUAAGUAAAAAAUAUUUAUAAUGAUAAAAUUAGUAUAUAAUAUUAUAAUUAAUUAAUUUUAAUUUAAAUAAUAUUAAAAUAAUGAGAAAUAAUAAAAAGGAAUUCGGCAAAAUUUUAUUUUAUAUUCACUUGUUUAUCAAAAACAUGUCUUUUUGAUUUAUUAAUUUAAAGUCUAAUCUGCCCACUGAUAAUAAUUAAAGGGCUGCAGUAUUUUUGACUGUACAAAGGUAGCAUAAUCAAUAGUCUCUUAAUUAGUGACUUGUAUGAAUGAUUGGAUGAAAUAUAAACUGUCUCUUUAUUAAUGUAUAGAAUUUAAUUUUUUUAUUAAAAAGUUAAAAUUUUUUAAAAAGACGAGAAGACCCUAUAGAGUUUUAUAUUUUUUUUUUUAUUAUAUAAUUAUUAAAAUAAAAUAAAUAAUUAAAAAAAAAUAUUUUGUUGGGGUGAUAUAAAAAUAAAUUUAACUUUUUAUUAAUAGAAACAAAGAUAAUUGAUUUAUUGAUCCAAUAUUAUUGAUUAUAAGAAAAAAUUACCUUAGGGAUAACAGCGUAAUUUUUUUUUUUAGUUCUUAUAAAAAGAAAAGUUUGCGACCUCGAUGUUGGAUUAAGAUAUAAUUUAAAUGCAAAAGUUUAAAUAUUUUG
rnacentral:rRNA from 1 species